rnacentral:pre_miRNA from 1 species
AAAGUACUCCCUUUGUCCCAAAAUUCUUAUCUUAGAUUUGUCUAGAUACGGAUGUAUCAAGUCACAUUUUAGUAUUAGAUACAUCUGUAUCUAGACAAAUCUAAGACAAGAAUUUUGGGAUGGAGGGGGUAGUUG